GACGGAGGGUGCUAGCGUUGUUCGGAAUCACUGGGCGUAAAGCGCACGUAGGCGGCUAUUCAAGUCGGGGGUGAAAGCCCGGGGCUCAACCCCGGAACAGCCCUCGAAACUAGAUAGCUAGAAUCUUGGAGAGGCGAGUGGAAUUCCGAGUGUAGAGGUGAAAUUCGUAGAUAUUCGGAAGAACACCAGUGGCGAAGGCGACUCGCUGGACAAGUAUUGACGCUGAGGUGCGAAAGCGUGGGGAGCAAACAGG
rnacentral:rRNA from 1 species